rnacentral:sRNA from 13 species
AAAGUUGUGCUUCCGAUUUUUCUGUGAAGGGCAGCAGAAACGUAUCAGUCGUAUGAUUAAAAUAUUUUAGAUCUAUCUAAUCUACCAACUUGUUGAGAAUUUUAAAAAUGGCCACAGCCAAACCAGCUCUUCGCAACUUACUUUUAAACAAAACAAAAAAGGACUUUGUUGUGGCCCUUUCUGUAGCAGUUGUAGCAUCAGUUUCUUAUUAUUAUGGUGUUAAAAUGCAGAGAAAAAAAACUUUUGAAGAAUUCCACAAGACAUAUGAUGCUGAUGCAGCCUAUCAGAGGAUGAAGAGUAAAGGGGUGUUUAGGGGACUAACCUCUAGCUAAUAGUCCUACCUAAUUUUUGAGUUUCCAAUGAGCCAUCAAGAUUGCAGACAAGUUUUGUUGAAUGUAUUUUUCUAUAGAAUUGUUUAGUAAAUAAAACACAUGACUUAACAAA